GACAGAGGGUGCAAACGUUGUUCGGAAUUACUGGGCGUAAAGCGCGUGUAGGCUGCUUGGAAAGUCGGAUGUGAAAGCCCUGGGCUCAACCUAGGAAGUGCAUUCGAAACUUCCAGCUGGAGUGCUGGAGAGGAAGGCGGAAUUCUCGGUGUAGAGGUGAAAUUCGUAGAUAUCGAGAGGAACACCGGUGGCGAAGGCGGCCUUCUGGACAGUCACUGACGCUGAGACGCGAAAGCGUGGGGAGCAAACAGG
rnacentral:rRNA from 1 species